rnacentral:lncRNA from 1 species
CGCUCGGCUAAAUCUAGGUAACACAAUAUUGGGUGAUGAAAGCAGAAUAUUAAAUCUAGACUAACUAAGAUCAUUCAGGAAAAAUCAUCGACAAAAGAAAAUGAAAAGAAGCAAAGGAAGGUUCAGAUUAUACUCUCUGUCUUUUUGGUAUUUUCAUAUUACUUGAGAAACUAAAAUAAACACACAGAACAUCAACAUCGACAAAAAGGAAGUACUAAUAUAUGAUCACAAAUAUAACUAGUAGUUAUAUAAAAGAAGAAAAACACGGAACAAAGAUAAUGGGACAAGGACAGAAGUGAUUCACAUCAAAAGCACGUACAUAUCACAAGUACAUAGGAGGAAUAUAUGAACUAGAAAUAAAAGAUGUAUCAUAGUGCUGAACAUGCACAAGUAGUAUGGUACUGGGAAAUAUAAGUUUCACACCACAGACAUAUAUAGUUUCACAUGCACAUAGUUAACACAGGGACUACAAUAUACACAUAACCACACAUGUAUACGACCAGGGGGUUACAAGAAGUGCUCACAGAUCAACAAAAUGAUUCGAACUAAACAAGCACAAGUCAAGAAAUGAACACAAAGGAGAUCACACACAUACACUAGCAGAAUAUUAAUUAACAGAAAAUGACAAGUACCUACUAAACAUAUAUUAGAUUGCAAGUGCUCUUAGAAUCUGAACAUUACAAAGUUUUACAUCUCAGCUUACAGCAAGUAAGUUCAGAGAAGGAGCAGCUUCAGAUUGGCGCAAGAAGAGCAACAGCAGGGGGGACGUGAGAGGAAGGAGUAGCAGCAAGGGUUCAUAGAAGGAGAAGCAGCAAACAGUUUGGGGGACGAGGAAAGGUGGAGGAGCAGCAAAGGGAAGAAGAAGUUGGGAAACAGCAGGGAGAGGCGCGUGGGAGAAGCAGCAGCAGCGGUGCAAGGAGAUAGAGUAAGCAGAGCAGCAGCAAGUUGGAGAAGAUUAGGAGCAGCAGUAUGAGGGGUUCAGAGGAGCAGCAACAUGAGCGCAAGAAGAGCAGGGACAGCAGCAGCGGAGGUGAGGAAGAAGAAGAAGCAGGUUGAAGAAGGAGGCACCAGCAUCGGGCGCGCGAUGGAUCAGACACCGCCGGCCCUCUGUCUGGUGAGUUGCGUGAGGUGGAUGUGGAGUGGUGCUGGUGGUGCGUGGUGGAGGUGUUGGGUGGCACGGCGCUGAUGGAUGGAGGUGAUGGUGGAGUGGUGGAUGGAGAUGGGUGAUGAGGUGGGAGGCGCACCACCACGCCGGCCUGGCCGUGGUAGCGGCCGGAGGUGGAGAAGAAAGGGAUCGGGGAAGAGAGAUGAGAUGCCAGGCCCGAUUUGGGAAUGGAGCAGCGCUAGGGAUUUUGACUCCCUCCCUGAUCUGUCUUUUUUUUACUUUGGCCCUCCUCCUUUCUUCUUUCUUCCCAAGUAGAUCCUCUCUUCUAUAGUUGGCCCCCUGGCUACUUCGUUUCUUCUCGCACAAGUCCAUUCUUCCUCCUCUUCUUCGUUCUCUUAGCCACUUAGUCAGGAUCUUGAAGAUUUAUAGUGCCUUCUCGCACUUAUCUGCAAAAGAAACAAAUGACUAGUAAAUGACUCUUUAAAUGAUUUUCAUGCAAAUAUUCAAUAUUUUACAGCAAGAAUUGAUGGUCAUAUCUCAAUAAACCGCAUAUUUGAGUGCCAAAAGAUGUAUAUGAAAUGUGCUUAUCAAGUUCCCCCACACUUAAAUCUUUGCUUGUCCUCAAGCAAAGGCAUAUGACAAGAGCAAGAAUGUGAACAGUGAGCUGACUAGAGAAUACCAAGUGAAGUAGGUCUCUAAACAGUGCAUGCCUUGGACUUAGCUAGUGAAAAUUAAUGCUACAAAUCAAUAGGACACUAGUAAACUCGACCAUUUUAAACUUUUGCAAUGAUAAAAGAGGAUCAACAAGUUUAAAUGAUGACUGUGCCAAAUGGUUCCUAAAGAGAGCAUGAUCCCAAGAACAAAAUGAACUGGAAUUAAAUCUUGUGAUCAAAUCACUUAUUUACAGAGAUAAAGCAAUGAUUAUAUUAUUAUUAGUCUCACCAUAGGAACAUACCACCGAUCCCGAGAACAUGGUAUACACCUGGCUCGACCAAUUAUUAGUUUUUUUUGUUUGUCUCCCCAAAGGAACAUACCACCGAUCCCGAGAACAUGGUAUACACCUGGUUUGACAAUUACAUUUUUAUUUAUUUAUUACUAUCCAAGCUACCAGAUUUCACAUGCCACCGAUCCAGGGAACAUGACAUGCUACUGUAGGUAGACCAGACUUAUUUAUUCAUUAUUACUUAUCUUAAAUGAACAACACAUAAGCACAAAAACAGGAAUCAUCACUUCUCCAUGUCUGGUUCACAUGCUACCGAUCCAGGGAACAUAGCAUGCUAAUCCAUAGUGGUUAGGUGAUUGCUCUCAAUGGGAACACACUUGGCACAAAUUCAGCAUCUAAACGUGGUGAUCUAGGUGUAUCGAGGUAAAAGCAGAAAAUGAUUAAGUUUUCUAGUGUACUAGGGAUUUGAGCACUCAAAACUAAUAACUUCCACUACUUUCAGCAAAGCAAGCAUUGUAUAGAUCACUAGUUUACAAGGCAUUCAACACUCAGUUCACAUAUUCACAUCAAUCGCCCUAUGUCGAAGGUAAAAUUCAGUGGGACGGUAUUUAAGAAAUGACUCAAGCAACCCAAAUAACGGUUGGUUACAGCAUGUAUAAUGUAUGAUGGUAUUCAGAUUGGGGUCAUGAAACAGCUCACCGGGUUUUGAUGGUGUAGCACUCGCUCGAUCAUCUCUAAGCUGCUCCUCUUCUCCUUUGCUUCCUCAUGGAUGCUCCAGCUUCACUCUUCAUCGUGUGUGCCCCAUUGCUUCUCCUCAUCGCCAUGCUUUGGGUCCACCAGGAUCCCAUGGGAUGUCAUCUCGAACUUGGUCAGCAUGUAUUGAUUCGUGCACAAGCAAAAACCUGAAAUAGGACUCACACAAACAACAACUACAAGUGAUAGGGUAGAUGCCCUCUAAAUCAUCAAUAGAGUACCCAAUUACAUAAGCAUAGCUAUAAAGCACAUGUUUAGAAUGGUAGAAAUGAGCAAAGUCAACACUAACAUGAGGAUGAUAUUUUUCAUUAAGCUCAAGACUAGCAUAAGAAUGAUAUGUUUCAUUAAACAUAGGUCUAGCACGAGGAAAGUAAAUGUGAUCAUCAUUAAUGUGAGUAAUGCCACUAACAGGGUAUAUAUGAUCAUACCCAAACAAAUACUUUUUCAAAUCUACUUUAACAGAUGGCAUCAUGUAAUGCAAGGUGGUAGCAAAGAAAUCACAAGGCAUCAUGUCAUCAAGAGGAUUGAGUAAACCUGACACAUCACGCUCUGGUAUGACAAUAGGCAAAUGAAUCUCAUGUUCUUCAUCUUCAUCUACAGCAGCUUCUUGUACUUCUUCAGGAGUAGUAGAUGAUGAGUCUUCAACUUGAUCACUUUGUUGUUCGAGCUCUGGAUCAUCUUGUGCCUUGGCUUCGAGAAUUUCUUCAAUCUGAGGUCUUUCUUCCUCUGGACUCUUGCUAUCUUGCUCAACUGGAUGUGACGGUGUUGGAACCUCACAUGUAUCAAGGGGAAUCUCGGCCACACUCAACUCAAGGAGGGAAGAGAUAGUACUGCCGGCAUUGAUGUUCUUCUCAAUCUUCCUUACUUCUUCCACUAGCUCCUUUCCACUCUUAAUCUUCUUCAUUUCCUCAAGUAUCACCUUCCUAAUGGGAUCAUCCUCGGCACUCCAAGUGAACUCGAGACUCAAAAGUGUGAGCUUGUCUAUGUCAUCGAACUCAUCUUGUGUGGGCACUUGUGUUGGAGGUGUUGGUUGACCAAAUGGAGGACCAUUUAACUCCAUCGGCAACAUCUCCUGGUGCUGAGGUAUAUGAAUAGGAGCUGAAUAAGACUAUUGUGGAGCAUAGUUGUGGCUCUCCUCUUCAUACCUAAAUCCCUGCAUAUGAUUACUAGAAGCAAACGAUGAGAUCUCAGGGUUGUUGCUCCUAUAUGACAUAUUCGGGAUUUCAGGCCACCCAUGUGAGUAAUUGUUUUGGUAUGAGCUAUGCUCUUGAGCGAAGCUCAUGCCAAAACAAUCCGGAGUGUGAGAGUAGCCACGCUGACAUUCAGCGGGCGAAUGGCCCUGAAAUCCACAAACAGGCAAGUAGGAGCAACAUAAGGAUGGCCUCCGGAAUAAGGAUCAUAAGAGCUAGGCCUAUCCUCAAAAGCUACUUCUCGCUGCCGAGCUAAAUCAUCCAAUUGAUGGGAAAUCUUACUUAUCAAUUCUUGAAUACUUUUCGUGUUGUUUGUUGUGUUGCUCGCAUAAGCCUGAUGAUCUGAAUAGUAAGCCAUAACCGAGAGGAUAAUCCAACCUGCAAAAAGGAAAAGAAGACAAAAAGAUACUAACUAGAACAGGGGUUAGUGGCUAGAGAUAUAUCACAAAUAUAUAAAGCACAAAAAGGAAACAAGCUAAACCUAGUCUAAAGCCUCACACAAACGCUCGACGCUAGUCCCCGGCAACGGCGCCAAAAUGAUAAAUUGUAAUAUAGCAGGGUUUUUUAUGCCCAAACUACGGAUGUCGUGUUCUCCACAGGGACUAGGCGACGACAACAAUGCUCGGCUAAAUCUAGGUAACACAAUAUUGGGUGAUGAAAGCAGAAUAUUAAAUCUAGACUAACUAAGAUCAUUCGGGAAAAAUCAUCGACAAAAGAAAAUGAAAAGAAGCAAAGGAAGGUUCAGAUUAUACUCUCUGUCUUUUUGGUAUUUUCAUAUUACUUGAGAAACUAAAAUAAACACACAGAACAUCAACAUCGACAAAAAGGAAGUACUAAUAUAUGAUCACAAAUAUAACUAGUAGUUAUAUAAAAGAAGAAAAACACAGAACAAAGAUAAUGAGACAAGGACAGAAGUGAUUCACAUCAAAAGCACGUACAUAUCACAAGUACAUAGGAGGAAUAUAUGAACUAGAAAUAAAAGAUGUAUCAUAGUGCUGAACAUGCACAAGUAGUAUGGUACUGGGAAAUAUAAGUUUCACACCACAGACAUAUAUAGUUUCACAUGCACAUAGUUAACACACAGGGACUACAAUAUACACAUAACCACACAUGUAUACGACCAGGGGGUUACAAGAAGUGCUCACAGAUCAACAAAAUGAUUCGAACUAAACAAGCACAAGUCAAGAAAUGAACACAAAGGAGAUCACACACAUACACUAGCAGAAUAUUAAUUAACAGAAAAUGACAAGUAACUACUAAACAUAUAUCAGAUUGCAAGUGCUCUUAGAAUCUGAACAUUACAAAGUUUUACAUCUCAGCUUACAGAAAAUUCAGAGAGAGAGAGAGAGAGUUCAGGUUCAAGAAGAAACAGAGGCAGCAGGGGGGUUGAGAAGGAGAGCAGCAGUUGGCGAUGAUGGAAGUAGAGCAGCAGUAGGGUAAGAUAAAGGUGCAGCAGCAGUAACGUAGGAGAAGAAGCAGCAGAGCGCAGUAGCAACAGUAGGUUUAGAUAAGGAGUAACAGCAUGGUUUGGGCAAGAAGAACAACAGAGGCGUGGGGAGAUUAGGCAGAGAGCAGCAGUAAGUUCAGAGAAGGAGCAGCUUCAGAUCGGCGCAAGAAGAGCAACAGCAGGGGGGACGUGAGAGGAAGGAGUAGCAGCAAGGGUUCAUAGAAGGAGAAGCAGCAAACAGUUUGGGGGACGAGGAAAGGCGAAGGAGCAGCAAAGGGAAGAAGAAGUUGGGAAACAGCAAGGAGAGGCGCGCGGGAGAAGCUGCAGCAGCGGUGCAAGGAGAUAGAGUAAGCAGAGCAGCAGCAAGUUGGAGAAGAUUAGGAGCAGCAGUACGAGGGGUUCAGAGGAGCAGCAACAUGAGCGCAAGAAGAGCAGGGAUAGCAGCAGUGGAGGUGAGGAAGAAGAAGAAGCAGGUUGAAGAAGGAGGCACCAGCAUCGGGCGCGCGAUGGAUCAGACACCGCCGGCCCUCUGUCUGGUGAGUUGCAUGAGGUGGAUGUGGAGUGGUGCUGGUGGUGCAUGGUGGAGGUGCUGGGUGGCACGGCGCUGAUGGAUGGAGGUGAUGGUGGAGUGAUGGAUGGAGAUGGGUGGUGAGGUGGGAGGCGCACCACCACGCCGGCCUGGCCGUGGCGGCGGCCGGAGGUGGAGAAGAAAGGGAUCGGGGAAGAGAGAUGAGAUGCCAGGCCCGAUUUGGGAAUGGAGCAGCGCUAGGGAUUUUGACUCCCUCCCUGAUCUGUCUUUUUUUUACUUUGGCCCUCCUCCUUUCUUCUUUCUUCCCAAGUAGAUCCUCUCUUCUAUAGUUGGCCCCCUGGCUACUUUGUUUCUUCUCGCACAAGUCCAUUCUUCCUCCUCUUCUUCGUUCUCUUAGCCACUUAGUCAGGAUCUUGAAGAUUUAUAGUGCCUUCUCGCACUUAUCUGCAAAAGAAACAAAUGACUAGUAAAUGACUCUUUAAAUGAUUUUCAUGCAAAUAUUCAAUAUUUUACAGCAAGAAUUGAUGGUCAUAUCUCAAUAAACCGCAUAUUUGAGUGCCAAAAGAUGUAUAUGAAAU